CCUACGGGGGGCUGCAGUGAGGAAUAUUGGUCAAUGGACGAGAGUCUGAACCAGCCAAGUAGCGUGAAGGAUGACUGCCCUAUGGGUUGUAAACUUCUUUUAUAUGGGAAUAAAAUGUUCCACGUGUGGGAUUUUGUAUGUACCAUAUGAAUAAGGAUCGGCUAACUCCGUGCCAGCAGCCGCGGUAAUACGGAGGAUCCGAGCGUUAUCCGGAUUUAUUGGGUUUAAAGGGUGCGUAGGUGGAUUGUUAAGUCAGUUGUGAAAGUUUGCGGCUCAACCGUAAAAUUGCAGUUGAAACUGGCAGUCUUGAGUACAGUAGAGGUGGGCGGAAUUCGUGGUGUAGCGGUGAAAUGCUUAGAUAUCACGAAGAACUCCGAUUGCGAAGGCAGCUCACUGGACUGCAACUGACACUGAGGCUCGAAAGUGUGGGUAUCGAACAGGAUUAGAUACCCCAGUAGUC
rnacentral:rRNA from 1 species